GCUCCUGUAGCAUCAAUGGUAAUGCGCCCGUCUCAAAAACGGGGUCUCCACAGACUUUCGGGUUCGAUUCCCGGCGGGAGCG
rnacentral:tRNA from 1 species